rnacentral:lncRNA from 1 species
UCCACAGUUACCAGCUGUGGAAUUUUGAGCAUAAGUAAGUUACUAAUCUCUUAGUCUUACUUGCUCAUCUGUUGCCAAGAGCUGGAAGAAGAUGGCCUCUGCAGGGUCACCUUCCAAGUCCCUCAGGAAGGCAACUAACGGGAGGAACUUAAUGUGCAUCCAGAGACCAAGAUGGCGGGAGUGUGGGAAACGUGGCUUUUAGCAUGCCAGCACCUUCCAAAGGGAAGAUAGGUGGAAUGGAGGUGAAGGGACCGAUGCAAAGUGCUAAACACAAGUUUAAAAUUUGGACUAUGGCUGUUUACAAGGAAGAAUCAAUGUCUUCACACAGGGAGAUCUUUAAAGGCUUUAUUAAAAUGGAACUCAGAAUGGGAAUUUUUUCCAGUAUUCUCUGGGGUAGCUGCUUUCAGAAAGAGGCGGAAAGGCAUGACACUACUUUAAGGUGUUCUAACAGAUUCUGUGAAUUUCAAGGCUAAUUAAUCUCAAGAAGUUUAUCAUUGAUGACAGCUGCUACGGCUUGAUCCUGCUCUUGCAAGGUUUGCACAUUACUAGAUUCCAGUUGGCAGAGUUUUAAGUGAAGUCUUCUUCUAUUUCAAGACAAGGGAAAUAUGAAAAGGGGUGUAUGUUGGAUCCAAUUUAGGCGCCUCCCCAGAUGCACUCUAUCUAGUAUGUCUUCUGGGCAUGCUUCUAACACAGAGCUCCCGUGCCCACUGUCACCACAUCUCCUGCCCACAGAGAUUAUGGUCUAAUUUUGGUCCAGGAUUUUAUAAUAAAGAUAAUAGAACAACAAAAAUGACCA